UAGCGAUAGGGUUAAUUUUGAAACUCCAUUAAGCGCCAACACAGUUUGAUGACUUUGCUUCAACACCCACCAUCCCCAAUCCGUAACCAUAAAUACUAUGAGAGUUCGAAUAUUUCGAAAAAGAUCUCGUCAAGAAAGCGAGACGUGUGGUAAAGUUAAACUAGUGUCUAGUGGUAGCGAAAAUACUUUUGAUUAAGUACAAGAACGAUGAUUUCAUAAUUAUAUAUUUAUAUGCAUAACGCAUCCACGUAUACACUCCCAUCAAUUGUUCAUAUAUAUUAUUCUCCUAGCUUAGUGGCCUAGAGAAACUUAUACAUUAUAGCGCCAAAAGUCCCGGAGAACUUGUGUAGCCCUCUCGUUUAUUGAUAACGAUUGAGACGAUCAAAAUACGUAUACAUAUUGAAAUUAUGGUCUCUAAACCAAAACGUAGGUACAUAAGCGGAUGCUGCCGAAGAAUAGAGAAUUAGGGAACCCCAAGUGGGUAGAAAAAGACGUAAACACAGCCGAUAAACUCAUAUGUCUUGUCCGAACAAAGGUACAACAUUAUUAUUUCUGGAAAAGCCCCACAAAUCUUUAGUGAAUUUGGAAGUUACACUAACUUCUUGUUGUGGCUCAAUCUUAUAUACGUAUGGGCAGCAAUGGACGAAAGGUGUUGGGGUCACAAUAAUGAAUAUAUAGGCCAAGAAGUUUUUUUUUGUAAGUA
rnacentral:lncRNA from 1 species